AGACCCGAAACCCGGUGAUCUAGCCAUGGGCAGGUUGAAGGUUGGGUAACACUAACUGGAGGACCGAACCGACUAAUGUUGAAAAAUUAGCGGAUGACCUGUGGCUGGGGGUGAAAGGCCAAUCAAACCGGGAGAUAGCUGGUUCUCCCCGAAAGCUAUUUAGGUAGCGCCUCGUGAAUUCAUCUCCGGGGGUAGAGCACUGUUUCGGCUAGGGGGCCAUCCCGGCUUACCAACCCGAUGCAAACUGCGAAUACCGGAGAAUGUUAUCACGGGAGACACACGGCGGGUGCUAACGUCCGUCGUGAAGAGGGAAACAACCCAGACCGCCAGCUAAGGUCCCAAAGUCAUGGUUAAGUGGGAAACGAUGUGGGAAGGCCCAGACAGCCAGGAUGUUGGCUUAGAAGCAGCCAUCAUUUAAAGAAAGCGUAAUAGCUCACUGGUCGAGUCGGCCUGCGCGGAAGAUGUAACGGGGCUAAACCAUGCACCGAAGCUGCGGCAGCGAACGUAUCACCCAAGACAACUUUACGGAGUUGACGAUUGACGGAGCGAAGCGACGUCAAAGCGUUCAUUAAAGUCGAGUUGGCUUAGGGAUACGUUCGUUGGGUAGGGGAGCGUUCUGUAAGCCUGUGAAGGUGUGUCGUGAGGCAUGCUGGAGGUAUCAGAAGUGCGAAUGCUGACAUAAGUAACGAUAAAGCGGGUGAAAAGCCCGCUCGCCGGAAGACCAAGGGUUCCUGUCCAACGUUAAUCGGGGCAGGGUGAGUCGACCCCUAAGGCGAGGCCGAAAGGCGUAGUCGAUGGGAAACGGGUUAAUAUUCCCGUACUUGGUGUUACUGCGAAGGGGGGACGGAGAAGGCUAUGUUGGCCGGGCGACGGUUGUCCCGGUUUAAGCGUGUAGGUGUGUGUUCCAGGUAAAUCCGGUUCACUUUAACACUGAGGCG
rnacentral:rRNA from 2 species